rnacentral:lncRNA from 1 species
CAGAAAGACUGAUUUGAGUGGUAACUCCAGUCUUUCUGCUCUGCUGCCUUGUCACUUCUUUAUUGUAAUUUAAAAAAAAAAAACAAAAAACAAGGUGAAGGAGCCAGGCAUGGUGUCUCAUGCCUAUCAUUCCUGUAUUUUGGGAGGCUGAGCUGGGCGGAUGACUUGAAGCCAAGAGUUUGAGACCAUCCUGUGCAACGAAGUGAGGCCCCAUAUCUACAAAAAAUAAAUUAUCUGGGUGUUGUGGCAUGUGUCUGUAGUCCCAACUGCUCAGAAGGCUGAGAUGGGAGGAUUGCUUAAGCCCAGAAGUUCAAGGCUUCAGUGAGCUAUGAUUAUACCACUGCACUCCAGCCUGGGCAACAGAGCAAGAAACUGUCUAAAAAGAAAAAAAAACAACAAUCCUGGCAAUCUCCAUUCCAGUAUUGAUGAAGCCACCAUUUCUUCCAGUCUCCAGCCACAGCACCCUGCAG